GCGUUAGGCAGACUCGGACUUCGGUCUUUACUGUGGCAUCGCUGCCUUUCUGGUCCCCACGACCGCAACCGCAGUCCCUCCGCCCAGCUCAAGAUGGGUAAAAAAAAAAAAAAAAAAAAAAAAGCACAGAAAGCGGAUGCGGUGGGAGGCCACGCCCCAGGCGGCCGGGAAAUCCAGAGCGGGCGCGCGCGUUGCCAGCCACUUCCGGCCCUCAGAGUCGGGGGCGGGGCCGCACGCGGCUCUGACGUGGGGCCUGCGGCUCCCCCUGUAGGCGGCGUGCAGCGAGACGGCGGAGCUGGAAGGCCUCGCCGCGUACGACGGUCGUUGCCCCUCGGUGCGCUCAGCCUUUCUUUCCAGGCCCGCCUCCCGCCUCCAGCCUCGAAUUUCCUUUUUUGCUCACAAUUUCCCCCGGCUCUCUGAGUGCGCUUUCUUUUCUCGGGAAGCGGGGAGUGGAGAAGGAGGAUAAAAAAGGCUCCAGGUGCGAGGCAAAGAUGGAGGAAGGCUCCCAGGCCCCGGACUGGGACAGUGAUGAGACGGUGAUAGACGAGUCGGUGACGGAGAGCGACCUGGAAGAAGAGGAGCUGCCCUGGAGAAGGUUGCUCUUUGAUGAAGACACAUCUCUUAGAUCUGAGUUCAGUCUCCAUCCUGGUAUAAGUGGAAGGUGCAAAGGCAAACUUUCUCCUGAGAUUCAACUUGGGUUUAAACUGAGAGAUAAUCCCCAAGAGCAAAUGAGUAAAAGUAAGAUAAUGCCUCUUAAUGACAAGGCAGUCUUACAGCAACCUCAAGAUGAACUGGAACAAAGUCAAGCUCUAUUCCAGCAUAGAAAAAGUUUUCCAGUGGUCACUGAAUCAUUUCCCCAGGCUGAACUUUCACUGAACCACCGAAGCAUUCAAGGGCCUGAGGCUGAAAAUGCUGAAAUUUUACCACACCCAGAAAAGACUCUAGAAGAUCCAAAUCCAUUUGGAUUGCAAACUUCAGUUCAUCACAAUGUCACCACUUGUGAUUCACUAUUAAAUAAUAAGGAAAAUUCACAGUCAUUGGAAAAUAGGUCUGACCAGGACACUCUGUGCGUGUUGAGGAGAUCAUCCAGACUGAAAGCAGGAAGAGAUGCAAAGCACACAGAUGACAUGUAUAAGAUGCCAGAAAAGAUUUUACAAAAGAUACUUGUCUGUGAGGAUCAAACAAAUAAGAAGUCCUCAACUAAGAAUUUCAGGUAUGCUAGCAAAUUAUUCUUUCUCUCUAGAUAUGCUAUAGACUUUAUAGAUAAAUCUAUGAUUGGAACAUUAGCAUUACUGUACAGUUAUCCCUAAGUGAAGAACUUUAUUUUUUACUGUUGUUGCCUUAUUUACUAUACAGUUAUUUUUUUAUCCCAGAAAACUCUUCUACUUUUUUUUUUAAAGGUAAUGGGAGAUUUGGUGUAUUUCAGCCUAAUCCUAAUUUUCAUUCUUUUUUAAAAUAAGUUUAGUUAAAAUGCAUCACUACACAGUUAUAAAUUUUCUUGUCACGAGAACUUCUAAGAGUUACUCUUUCAACAACUUUCAACUAUACAGUACAGAAUUGUUAACUACAUUUACCAUGCUGUACAUUUCAUUCUCAGGACUUAUUUAUCUUAUAAAUGGAAGUUUGUAGUUUUUGAUCACCUUCACCCAUUUCACCUACUACCCCGCCCCCUGGCCUCUGACAACCAUCAGUCUGUUCUCUGUAUCUAUGAGUUUGGUUUUUUUUUUUUUAGAUUCCACAUAUAAGUGAGAUCAUACAGCGUUUGUCUUUCUCUGACUUAUUUUGCUUAGCAUAAUACCCUUUAGGUCCUUUCACGUUGUCACAAAUGGCAGGAUUUCCUUUUCUAUGGCUGAAUAAUAUUCCAUUGUGUGUGUAUGUAUGUGUGUAUGUAUUUGUAUGUAUAUGUGUGUAUGUAUGUGUAUGUAUGUAUAUAUAUGUAUACACACACACUAAUUUUCGUUUUUAAAUUUUUUAUUAAUGUUCAUUUAUUUUCGAGGGAGAGCGAGACAGAGUGCAAAUCGCAGAGAGACAGAGAGAGAGGGAGACAAGACUCUGAAGGAGGCUCCAGGCUCUGAGCUGUCAGCACAGAGCCUGAUGUGGGGCUCAAAUUCAUGAACUGUGAGAUCAUGACCUCAGCCAAAGUUGAACUCUCAACUGACUCAGUCACUCAGGCACCACUGUAUACCAAAUUUCUUUAUCCUUUCAUCCAUCGGUGGAUACUUAAGUUGUUUCCAUGCCUUGGCUCUUGUAAAUAUUGCUGUCAUGGCCUUGGAGGUGCAGAUAUCUUUUCAGGAUAGUAAUUUUAUUUUCUUUGGAUAAAUAUCCAGAAGUGGUGAUGGUAGCCAUUGUAAAUAACACUUGUGAGGUAAUAUCUCGUUGUGGUUUUCAUUUGCAUUUUCAUGCUAUUAGUGAUGUGGGUUACCUUUUUAUGUACCGGUUAGCCAUUUGGAUGUCUUUUUUUGAAGUUUAUUUAUUUUGAGAGAGAGAGAGAGCAAGUGCAUGGGAAGAGCAGAAAGAGAGGGAGAGAGAGAGAAUCCCAAGGAAGCUCUGAGCUGUCAGCGCAGAGCCCAACAUGGGGCUCGAACUUGCAUACUGCAAGAUCAUGUCCUGAGCAGAAAUCAAGUCAGACACUUAAUCAAGUGUCACACAGGCCUGAGCCACACAGGUACCCCUGGAUGUUGUCUUUAAUAAAAUGUCUUUUUAGUUCCUUUUCCA
ensembl:lncRNA